rnacentral:rRNA from 2 species
UGAGGAAUAUUGGUCAAUGGGCGAGAGCCUGAACCAGCCAAGUAGCGUGCAGGAUGACGGCCCUAUGGGUUGUAAACUGCUUUUAUGUGGGGAUAAAGUGCGUGACGUGUCAUGCAUUGCAGGUACCACAUGAAUAAGGACCGGCUAAUUCCGUGCCAGCAGCCGCGGUAAUACGGAAGGUCCGGGCGUUAUCCGGAUUUAUUGGGUUUAAAGGGAGCGUAGGCUGUCUAUUAAGCGUGUUGUGAAAUUUACCGGCUCAACCGGUGGCUUGCAGCGCGAACUGGUCGACUUGAGUAUGCAGGAAGUAGGCGGAAUUCAUGGUGUAGCGGUGAAAUGCUUAGAUAUCAUGACGAACUCCGAUUGCGCAGGCAGCUUACUGUGGCAUAACUGACGCUGAUGCUCGAAAGUGCGGGUAUCAAACAGG